CGAUUCUUACUGUCCACAAUGGUAUCUUUCCCAUUGGGACAAAGCUCGAUCUCUUUCUUAGAGCCCAACGACUCAACAUCACAAAUGAACCUCAAGCCUAGAUUAUCUCCGUCCAACAUCUCUGGAUCCAUUUCUAGUAUUUCCUUACAGCUCUUGUAAAAGGGUGGAUCCGCAUCCCUAACAUCUUCCAACGUUAUGUCUUUCCCAGCCAAUUGCAAAUAGAAGGUGCGAUCAAACACAAUACCGAUUUGUAUUUUAUGCGUUAAAGUCAACGCAAUCAUCCUACCAGAGAACCAGAAGUAAUCAAGGUGUAAUGGUUUAACCUUAGAUGCUGAAUUUGGAAAAAACCUUCUACGAUCAUUUGGGCAAGCAACAAAGAGAGCAUUCUGAGG
rnacentral:misc_RNA from 1 species